CAUAGGUUAAUGAGGCGAACCGGGGGAACUGAAACAUCUAAGUACCCCGAGGAAAAGAAAUCAACCGAGAUUCCCCCAGUAGCGGCGAGCGAACGGGGAGCAGCCCAGAGCCUGAAUCAGUGUGUGUGUUAGUGGAAGCGUCUGGAAAGGCGCGCGAUACAGGGUGACAGCCCCGUACACAAAAAUGCACAUACUGUGAGCUCGAUGAGUAGGGCGGGACACGUGGUAUCCUGUCUGAAUAUGGGGGGACCAUCCUCCAAGGCUAAAUACUCCUGACUGACCGAUAGUGAACCAGUACCGUGAGGGAAAGGCGAAAAGAACCCCGGCGAGGGGAGUGAAAAAGAACCUGAAACCGUGUACGUACAAGCAGUGGGAGCACGCUUAGGCGUGUGACUGCGUACCUUUUGUAUAAUGGGUCAGCGACUUAUAUUCUGUAGCAAGGUUAACCGAAUAGGGGAGCCGAAGGGAAACCGAGUCUUAACUGGGCGUUAAGUUGCAGGGUAUAGACCCGAAACCCGGUGAUCUAGCCAUGGGCAGGUUGAAGGUUGGGUAACACUAACUGGAGGACCGAACCGACUAAUGUUGAAAAAUUAGCGGAUGACUUGUGGCUGGGGGUGAAAGGCCAAUCAAACCGGGAGAUAGCUGGUUCUCCCCGAAAGCUAUUUAGGUAGCGCCUCGUGAAUUCAUCUCCGGGGGUAGAGCACUGUUUCGGCAAGGGGGUCAUCCCGACUUACCAACCCGAUGCAAACUGCGAAUACCGGAGAAUGUUAUCACGGGAGACACACGGCGGGUGCUAACGUCCGUCGUGAAGAGGGAAACAACCCAGACCGCCAGCUAAGGUCCCAAAGUCAUGGUUAAGUGGGAAACGAUGUGGGAAGGCCCAGACAGCCAGGAUGUUGGCUUAGAAGCAGCCAUCAUUUAAAGAAAGCGUAAUAGCUCACUGGUCGAGUCGGCCUGCGCGGAAGAUGUAACGGGGCUAAACCAUGCACCGAAGCUGCGGCAGCGACGCUGAUGCGUUGUUGGGUAGGGGAGCGUUCUGUAAGCCUGUGAAGGUGUGCUGUGAGGCAUGCUGGAGGUAUCAGAAGUGCGAAUGCUGACAUAAGU
rnacentral:rRNA from 1 species